GGGCAAUUCUCUAUUGGCAGU
rnacentral:miRNA from 1 species